rnacentral:rRNA from 1 species
UACGUAGGGUGCAAGCGUUGUCCGGAAUUAUUGGGCGUAAAGAGCUCGUAGGCGGUCUGUCGCGUCGGAUGUGAAAACCCAGGGCUCAACCCUGGGCCUGCAUUCGAUACGGGCAGACUAGAGUUCGGUAGGGGAGACUGGAAUUCCUGGUGUAGCGGUGAAGUGCGCAGAUAUCAGGAGGAACACCGGUGGCGAAGGCGGGUCUCUGGGCCGAAACUGACGCUGAGGAGCGAAAGCGUGGGGAGCAAACAGG